AGAGUUUGAUCAUGGCUCAGAACGAACGCUGGCGGCGUGCCUAACACAUGCAAGUCGAACGCGAAAGGGGGCAACCCCCGGUAGCGUGGCAGACGGGUGAGUAACACGUGGGUAACCUACCCGGAGGUGGGGGAUAACCCUUCGAAAGGAGGGCUAAUACCGCAUGACACCGCGGGGACCUCGGUCCUUGCGAUCAAAGCUGGCCUCUGUUUACAAGCUAGCGCCACCGGAUGGGCCCGCGCCCCAUUAGCUAGUUGGUGAGGUAACGGCUCACCAAGGCGACGAUGGGUAGCCGGCCUGAGAGGGCGAUCGGCCACACUGGAACUGCGACACGGUCCAGACUCCUACGGGAGGCAGCAGUGAGGAAUCUUGCGCAAUGGGCGAAAGCCUGACGCAGCGACGCCGCGUGGAGGAUGAAGGUCUUCGGAUUGUAAACUCCUGUCGAGUGGGACGAAUGCCGUGAGGGUGAACAACCUUCGCGGUUGACGGUACCGCUGGAGGAAGCCCCGGCUAACUCCGUGCCAGCAGCCGCGGUAAUACGGAGGGGGCUAGCGUUGUUCGGAAUCAUUGGGCGUAAAGGGCGCGUAGGCGGCCGAUCAAGUCGGAGGUGAAAUCCCUCGGCUCAACUGAGGAAUUGCCUUCGAUACUGUUCGGCUUGAGUCCUGGAGAGGGUAGCGGAAUUCCCGGUGUAGCGGUGAAAUGCGUAGAGACCGGGAAGAACACCAGUGGCGAAGGCGGCUACCUGGACAGGUACUGACGCUGAAGCGCGAAAGCUAGGGGAGCAAACAGGAUUAGAUACCCUAGUAGUCC
rnacentral:rRNA from 1 species